CUGCAACCAUUAAUCGAUCAGUUGUCAACUAUUAAAGUUAAUGGUCAACUAUUUUGAGAAUUGAUUAAUUGGUUUGACUCAUUUUCAUGCAAUAAAGAAAGA